CCUCAGGAAGUGCAUGUGCAACCAAUUCCCCCAAACAUGGAGUCCUGUAGCCCAGGUCUUACCUGAAUCAGGAUGAGGGAGUGGUGGGUCCAGGUGGGGCUGUUGGCUAUGCCUCUGCUUGCUGCAUACCUGCACAUCCCACCCCCUCAGUUCUCCCCUGCCCUGCACUCAUAGAAGUCUUCAGGCUUUGGCUUCAGUGACAAACCGAGAGCGCAUCACUAUUCCAUAUUUGAGCAGGCCAGCAUCGUGGAAGCUCUUUUGAGGCAUCUGGGGCUCCAGAACCGCAGGAUCAACCUUCUAUCUCAUGACUAUGUAGAUAUUGUUGCUCAGGAGUUUCUCUACAGGUACAAGCAGAAUCGAUCUGGCCGGCUUACCAUAAAGAGUCUCUGUCUGUCAAAUGUAUCUUUCCUGAGACUCACCGUCCACUCCUUCUCCAAAAGCUACUCAAAGAUGGAAGUGUGCUGUCACCCAUCCUCACACGACUGAUGAACUUCUUUGUAUUCUGACGAGGUCUCACCCCAGUCUUUGGGCCGUAUACUCGGCCCUCUCAGAGUGAGCUGUGGGACAUGUGGGCAGGGAUCCGCAACAAUGAUGGGAACUUAGUCAUUGACAGUCUCUUACAGUAUAUCAGAGGAAGAAGUUCAGAAGGCGCUGGAUGGGAGCUCUUGCCUCUGUGUCUAUCCCCAUUCAUUUUAUCUAUGGGCCAUUGGAUCCUGUAAAUCCCUAUCCAGAGUUUUUGGAGCUGUACAGGAAAAUGCUGCCAUGGUAGACAGUGUCGAUUCUGGAUGACCACAUUAGCCACUAUCCACAGCUAGAGGAUCCCAUGGGCUUCUUGAAUGCAUCUAUGGGCUUCAUCAACUCCUUCUGAGCUGGAAAGAGUAGCUUCCCUGUAUUACCUCCCCUACUUCCUUAUCUGUUGUGUAUUCUACUUAGGAAGAAAUCCCCUAAAGAGGUCCUGGCCAUCAAACACUAUUUUCUCACAAAGUCCACUUUACUCAAAUUGGUGAACAGUGUAUAGGAAGAAGCCAGCAGGAGCUCUGACUAAGGUUGACAUCAUAGUCCACCUCCCAGUACUCCGACAUCUGAUCAAAUGUAUGGACUUGGCUCUGUUUUUGUGUUAUUGGGAAAUUCUGAUGAGUGUUACUAUUCACUGAUGCUGAGAGACGCUCUUUUGCAUAAAAGAUUUUUUAACACUUUGGACUUCUCUGAAAUAUUCAGAAGUGCUAAUUUCUGGCCCAGGCCCAGUAAGAAUUCUAAAGUAAGAAUGAGGAGAAGAGGGCCUCCUUCCCUCUCCUCGAAUGGCUUUAUGGGCACAUGCGUUUUAAAAGUUCUUUAAGCAACACAGAGCUGAGUCCUCUUUGUCAUACCUUUCGAUUUAGUUUCAUCAGUUGUUUUUAGUUAUAAACAUUUUGCUAAAAUAGAUAUUGGUUUGAAUAAUAUAGUAUUCUUAGUAUGUUUUUUAAGACUAUGAUUUACUUACAGAUUAUAUAUAUUUUAUAAAGAUCCUAACCCAGCAUAGCAUACCCUUACUCUGCCAGAGUAGUGAACCUAAUUAAACGUUUGAUUUCUGAAUAAAUUGAACUAAAUCCAAACUAUUUCCCAAAAUCACAGGACAUUAAGGACCAAUAGCAUCUGUGCCAGAGAUUUACUGUUAUUAGCUGGGAAGACCAAUUCUAACAGCAAAUACACUCCUCAUAUCUCAGUGCUAAAAAGCACGUCUCUCUUGAGCUACUGCAGAGGGGAAGGAAUUGUUGUGUAGUCCAAGUCACCAUGCUGAAUGUACAUGGAUCCCUUUAUGGUGACUGCCUAACUCCCCAUUGCCUGUCCCACAGAGCCUUUCCGAUGUAGCUCAGUAAUUCCUGUACUUUACAGAUGGGUAAGUUCCAGAAACUUUAAGAACAAAUUCUGAAAGACCUAUGAGCAAAUGGUGCUGAAUACUUUUUUUAAAGCUCCAUUUCAUUGUCUUAGUCAAAGCAGAAUUAUUAAGUGAUUAUUUAAAAUUCAUUUUUUAAAAAUUAGCAACUUCAAGUAUAACAACUUUGAAACUGGAAUAAGUGUUUAUUUUCUAUUAAUAAAAAUGAAUUGUGAC